rnacentral:ncRNA from 1 species
AACAACGCGAUGAGAGAAACAGUAAGCAUGACUGGUGCGCUAAGAGAAGCCCGGUAACGGUGAAACGGGAAGGCGCCUGACUGCUGAAGAUCAUUCUUGAGCGGGCUCCCCGAUUGGUAAGGGAGCAAGGUGGCACCCGUUAUCGUGCAGCGUAUGAGCGAUCGUACGUUUGAGGCUUGAUUUUUCAAGCGAACUUAGGUGGUACCACGGUGCAAGUCGUCCUAUUA